GGUUUGAUCCUGGCUCAGAUUGAACGCUGGCGGGAUGCUUUACACAUGCAAGUCGAACGGCAGCACGGACUUCGGUCUGGUGGCGAGUGGCGAACGGGUGAGUAAUGUAUCGGAACGUGCUCAGUAGCGGGGAUAACUACGCGAAAGCGUAGCCAAUACCGCAUACGCGCCCUUCGGGGAAAGCGGGGGACCUUCGGGCCUCGCACUAUUAGAGCGCCGAUAUCGGAUUAGCUAGUUGGUGGGGUAACGGCUCACCAAGGCGACGAUCCGUAGCUGGUUUGAGAGGACGACCAGCCACACUGGGACUGAGACACGGCCCAGACUCCUACGGGAGGCAGCAGUGGGGAAUUUUGGACAAUGGGGAAACCCUGAUCCAGCCAUCUCCGCGUGUGCGAUGAAGGCCUUCGGGUUGUAAAGCACUUUUAGCAGGAAAGAACGGCACGGGAUACUACCCCGUGCAACUGACGGUACCUGCAGAAUAAGCACCGGCUAACUACGCCAGCAGCCGCGGUAAUACGUAGGGUGCAAGCGUUAAUCGGAAUUACUGGGCGUAAAGCGUGCGCAGGCGGUUCUGAAAGAUGUGAAAUCCCAGAGCUUAACUUUGGAACUUACUUUUAACUACCGAGCUAGAGUGUGUCAGAGGGAGGUGGAAUUCCGCGUGUAGCAGUGAAAUGCGUAGAUAUGCGAGGAACACCGACGGCGAAGGCAGCCUCUGGGAUAACACUGACGCUCAUGCACGAAAGCGUGGGGAGCAAACAGGAUUAGAUACCCUGGUAGUCCACGCCCUAAACGAUGUCAACUAGCUGUUGGGGCCUUCGGGCCUUGGUAAAGCAGAAGCACUGGCAGUUGACCGCCUGGGGAGUACGGUCGCAAGAUUAAAACCUGAUUUGGACCGCACAAGCGGUGGACAUGUGGGACACCUUGAUGCAACGCGAAAAACCUCACCUACCCUUGACAUGUCUGGAAUCCCGAAGAGAUUUGGGAGUGCUCGGCAGAACCGGAACACAGGUGCUGCAUGGCUGUCGUCACCGUGUCGUGAGAUGUUGCUUAAGUCCCGGCAACGAGCGCAACCCUUAUUGCCGGUUGCUACGAAAGGGCACUCUAUCGUGAGACUGCCGGUGACAAACCGGAGGCGGGGAUGACGUCAAGUCCUCAUGGCCCCGGCGGGUAGGGCUUCACACGUCAUACAAUGGUCGGGACAGUGGCUCGCUAACCCGCGAGGGGGGAGCCAAUCCCAGAAACCCGAUCGUAGUCCGACUGCAGUCUGCAACUCGACCGCGUGAAGUCGGAAUCGCUAGUAAUCGCGGAUCAGCAUGCUACUGCGGUGAAUACGUUCCCGGGUCUUGUACACACCGCCCGUCACACCAUGGGAGUGGGUUUCACUACAGAAGUAGUUAGCCUAACCGUAAGGGAGGGCGAUUACCACGGUAGGAUCUGGCGACUGGGGUGAAGUCGUAACAAGGUAG
rnacentral:rRNA from 1 species